rnacentral:rRNA from 1 species
UGUGUGUUAGUGGAAGCGUCUGGAAAGGCGCGCGAUACAGGGUGACAGCCCCGUACACAAAAAUGCACAUGCUGUGAGCUCGAUGAGUAGGGCGGGACACGUGGUAUCCUGUCUGAAUAUGGGGGGACCAUCCUCCAAGGCUAAAUACUCCUGACUGACCGAUAGUGAACCAGUACCGUGAGGGAAAGGCGAAAAGAACCCCGGCGAGGGGAGUGAAAAAGAACCUGAAACCGUGUACGUACAAGCAGUGGGAGCCUCUUUUAUGGGGUGACUGCGUACCUUUUGUAUAAUGGGUCAGCGACUUAUAUUCUGUAGCAAGGUUAACCGAAUAGGGGAGCCGAAGGGAAACCGAGUCUUAACUGGGCGUUAAGUUGCAGGGUAUAGACCCGAAACCCGGUGAUCUAGCCAUGGGCAGGUUGAAGGUUGGGUAACACUAACUGGAGGACCGAACCGACUAAUGUUGAAAAAUUAGCGGAUGACUUGUGGCUGGGGGUGAAAGGCCAAUCAAACCGGGAGAUAGCUGGUUCUCCCCGAAAGCUAUUUAGGUAGCGCCUCGUGAAUUCAUCUCCGGGGGUAGAGCACUGUUUCGGCAAGGGGGUCAUCCCGACUUACCAACCCGAUGCAAACUGCGAAUACCGGAGAAUGUUAUCACGGGAGACACACGGCGGGUGCUAACGUCCGUCGUGAAGAGGGAAACAACCCAGACCGCCAGCUAAGGUCCCAAAGUCAUGGUUAAGUGGGAAACGAUGUGGGAAGGCCCAGACAGCCAGGAUGUUGGCUUAGAAGCAGCCAUCAUUUAAAGAAAGCGUAAUAGCUCACUGGUCGAGUCGGCCUGCGCGGAAGAUGUAACGGGGCUAAACCAUGCACCGAAGCUGCGGCAGCGACGCUUAUGCGUUGUUGGGUAGGGGAGCGUUCUGUAAGCCUGUGAAGGUGUGCUGUGAGGCAUGCUGGAGGUAUCAGAAGUGCGAAUGCUGACAUAAGUAACGAUAAAGCGGGUGAAAAGCCCGCUCGCCGGAAGACCAAGGGUUCCUGUCCAACGUUAAUCGGGGCAGGGUGAGUCGACCCCUAAGGCGAGGCCGAAAGGCGUAGUCGAUGGGAAACAGGUUAAUAUUCCUGUACUUGGUGUUACUGCGAAGGGGGGACGGAGAAGGCUAUGUUGGCCGGGCGACGGUUGUCCCGGUUUAAGCGUGUAGGCUGGUUUUCCAGGCAAAUCCGGAAAAUCAAGGCUGAGGCGUGAUGACGAGGCACUACGGUGCUGAAGCAACAAAUGCCCUGCUUCCAGGAAAAGCCUCUAAGCAUCAGGUAACAUCAAAUCGUACCCCAAACCGACACAGGUGGUCAGGUAGAGAAUACCAAGGCGCUUGAGAGAACUCGGGUGAAGGAACUAGGCAAAAUGGUGCCGUAACUUCGGGAGAAGGCACGCUGAUAUGUAGGUGAAGCGACUUGCUCGUGGAGCUGAAAUCAGUCGAAGAUACCAGCUGGCUGCAACUGUUUAUUAAAAACACAGCACUGUGCAAACACGAAAGUGGACGUAUACGGUGUGACGCCUGCCCGGUGCCGGAAGGUUAAUUGAUGGGGUUAGCGCAAGCGAAGCUCUUGAUCGAAGCCCCGGUAAACGGCGGCCGUAACUAUAACGGUCCUAAGGUAGCGAAAUUCCUUGUCGGGUAAGUUCCGACCUGCACGAAUGGCGUAAUGAUGGCCAGGCUGUCUCCACCCGAGACUCAGUGAAAUUGAACUCGCUGUGAAGAUGCAGUGUACCCGCGGCAAGACGGAAAGACCCCGUGAACCUUUACUAUAGCUUGACACUGAACAUUGAGCCUUGAUGUGUAGGAUAGGUGGGAGGCUUAGAAGUGUGGACGCCAGUCUGCAUGGAGCCGACCUUGAAAUACCACCCUUUAAUGUUUGAUGUUCUAACGUUGACCCGUAAUCCGGGUUGCGGACAGUGUCUGGUGGGUAGUUUGACUGGGGCGGUCUCCUCCUAAAGAGUAACGGAGGAGCACGAAGGUUGGCUAAUCCUGGUCGGACAUCAGGAGGUUAGUGCAAUGGCAUAAGCCAGCUUGACUGCGAGCGUGACGGCGCGAGCAGGUGCGAAAGCAGGUCAUAGUGAUCCGGUGGUUCUGAAUGGAAGGGCCAUCGCUCAACGGAUAAAAGGUACUCCGGGGAUAACAGGCUGAUACCGCCCAAGAGUUCAUAUCGACGGCGGUGUUUGGCACCUCGAUGUCGGCUCAUCACAUCCUGGGGCUGAAGUAGGUCCCAAGGGUAUGGCUGUUCGCCAUUUAAAGUGGUACGCGAGCUGGGUUUAGAACGUCGUGAGACAGUUCGGUCCCUAUCUGCCGUGGGCGCUGGAGAACUGAGGGGGGCUGCUCCUAGUACGAGAGGACCGGAGUGGACGCAUCACUGGUGUUCGGGUUGUCAUGCCAAUGGCACUGCCCGGUAGCUAAAUGCGGAAGAGAUA